UGACAUACAUAGCAGAGUCCCAGAAGAAAGAACUGACUACUAACAAAUUGAAACAAGUACCCUUCAGGGGACCGUGGAUAUAACCUGACUCCUUCAGUGACAAAAAUCAAGGCUGAAACUUUCAAAAAAAAAAAAAAAAUCAGAUCUAGAACACCCCGCAAGUAAUUUCUUCCCAUUUUCCUAGUUUUGCUGCCAUGUUAACAUAAAAUCUGGAUCCAGCUUGUCCUGUUCCUUCUUCCUUUGGGAUUCAUCCCGAAGUGAGUCUCGCUCCAGUUUUCGGGCAUUAAGGACAUCUUCCACAUUGGUGUUUCGGAACAGAACUACAGUGAACUUCCAAGCUUCCUCACAGGCUGUGUUAAAGUUUUCCCAUUUAUAAGCCAAUCUUGCCAGAAGAGGCUCUGGAACUCAAAUGGGUUACUGCCAGAAGAAUCUGGGACAGCUGCACUAGUGUUAUAUUUCAACCAUGUACCCAAUCUAUGAACUGCUUCCAC
rnacentral:lncRNA from 1 species